rnacentral:rRNA from 1 species
GCCUGCCCUGUGACUAUAUGUUUAACGGCCGCGGUAUUUUGACCGUGCGAAGGUAGCGUAAUCACUUGUCUUUUAAAUGGAGACCCGUAUGAAUGGCAUGACGAGGGCUUGACUGUCUCCUUUCUCAAGUCAAUGAAAUUGAUCUCCCCGUGCAGAAGCGGGGAUAACACCAUAAGACGAGAAGACCCUAUGGAGCUUUAGACACAAAGCAGAUCACGUUAAGCACCUCUAAAUAAAGAACUAAACCCCGUGAACCCUGCCCUAAUGUCUUUGGUUGGGGCGACCACGAGGAAAAAGAACCCGCGUGCGGACUGGGGGCACCCCCCUAUCACCACGAGCACCCGCUCUAACGAUCAGAAUUUCUGACCAAACAGAUCCGGCAUAGCCGAUCAACGGACCGAGUUACCCUAGGGAUAACAGCGCAAUCCCCUCUUAGAGCCCAUAUCGACGAGGGGGUUUACGACCUCGAUGUUGGAUCAGGACAUCCUAAUGGUGCAGCCGCUAUUAAGGGUUCGUUUGUUCAACGAUUAAAGUCCUACGUGAU